rnacentral:rRNA from 2 species
GCUAACCCUAGCCCAAAUCCCACACCACUAAACUAUCUUAUUACAAUAAAUAAAUCAUUUACCCCAGCAAAAGUAUAGGCGAUAGAAAUUUCAUUAUGGCGCAAUAGAUACAGUACCGUAAGGGAAAGACAAACCCAACAAGCACAAAAAAGCAAAGAUAAACCCUUUUACCUUUUGCAUAAUGAGUUAACUAGAAAUAAUUUUGUAUAGAGAACUUAAACAAUACCCCCCGAAACCAAGCGAGCUACCUACAGACAGCUAAAAGAGCACACCCGUCUAUGUGGCAAAAUAGUGGGAAAAUCUCUAGGUAGUGGCGACAAACCUACCGAGCCUGGUGAUAGCUGGUUGUCCAAGACAGAAUCUUAGUUCAACUCUAAAUUUACUCACAGAAUUUAUUAAUCCCACCGUAAAUUUAAUUGUUAGUCUAAAGGGGGACAGCUCCUUAGACCCUAGGAAACAACCUUCUGUAGAGAGUAAAAUAUUUACUCACCAUAGUAGGCCUAAAAGCAGCCAUCAAUUAAGAAAGCGUUCAAGCUCAACACCUAAACACCCUUAAUUCUACCCAUCACACUGAACUCCUAAGAUACAUUGGACUAAUCUAUUACUAUAUAGAAGCAACAAUGUUAAUAUAAGUAACACGAAAUUAUUCUCCCUGCAUAAGCUUAUCUCAGACCGAAACAACUACCGUUAGUUAACAGCCUAAUCAUAAUACCCCACAGCCCUAUUUCCCAUUACCCAAACUGUUAACCCAACACAGGCAUGCUUUUGGGAAAGAUUAAAAGAAGUAAAAGGAACUAGGCAAACUCUACCCCCGCCUGUUUACCAAAAACAUCACCUCUAGCAUCACUAGUAUUAGAGGCACUGCCUGCCCAGUGACAUAUGUUCAACGGCCGCGGUACCCUGACCGUGCAAAGGUAGCAUAAUCAUUUGUUCCCUAAAUAGGGACUCGUAUGAAUGGCCACACGAGGGUUUAACUGUCUCUUACUUCCAAUCAGUGAAAUUGACCUAUCCGUGAAGAGGCGGAUAUAUACUAAUAAGACGAGAAGACCCUAUGGAGCUUUAAUUUAAUAAUACAAAUACAUACCUACAAACCCACAGGCAAUAAUAUUGCUACUCAUGUAUUAUAAAUUUUGGUUGGGGUGACCUCGGAGCACAACAAAACCUCCGAAAAAAUAAAUACUAAGACCUUACUAGUCUAAGUAAAUAUACACUUUUGACCCAAUAACUUGAUCAACGGACCAAGUUACCCUAGGGAUAACAGCGCAAUCCUAUUUUAGAGUCCAUAUCGACAAUAGGGUUUACGACCUCGAUGUUGGAUCAAGACAUCCUAAUGGUGCAGCCGCUAUUAAGGGUUCGUUUGUUCAACGAUUAAAGUCUUACGUGAUCUGAGUUCAGACCGGAGAAAUCCAGGUCGGUUUCUAUCUAUUAAAUAUUUCUCCCAGUACGAAAGGACAAGAGCAAUAGGGCCUACUUCACAAAGCGCCCUCACAAACUAGAUGAGUGUUAUCUUAACCUUAUAACCUACUUGUACCCCCCCCCCCCCAGAACAGGGCUC